rnacentral:rRNA from 1 species
GGAUUGAACGCUGGCGGCGUGCCUAACACAUGCAAGUCGAGCGGUAACAGGUGUAGCAAUACAUGCUGACGAGCGGCGAACGGGUGAGUAAUGCUUCGGAAUCUACCUUAUGGUGGGGAAUAACUAGCCGAAAGGUUAGCUAAUACCGCAUACGUCCUACGGGAGAAAGCAGGGGAUCGCAAGACCUUGCGCCAAAAAGAUGAGCCGAAGUCGGAUUAGCUAGUUGGUAGGUAACGGCCUACCAAGGCGACGAUCCGUAGCUGGUCUGAGAGGACGACCAGCCACACUGGAACUGAGACACGGUCCAGACUCCUACGGGAGGCAGCAGUGGGGAAUAUUGGACAAUGGGGGAAACCUGAUCCAGCGACGCGCGUGUGUGAAGAAGGCCUGCGGGUUGUAAAGCACGUUUAGUGGGAUGAAAUGUGCAGAGCUAAUACCUCUGUACUUUGACCUAACCACAAGAAAAGCACCGGACUAACUCUGUGCCAGCAGCCGUA